AUUUUAAGUUAUUUUAAUAAUUCAAAUCGCUCAUAUUUCUAAGACUCUUAUAAAAAAUUAGAUUGAUCAAUAUAAAUUAAUAUUCAUUUAUAUUGUUUUAUAAUGUUAAUAAAAGAGUGUGAACAUAUAGAAAGUAAAGCCCAUUUAUUUUUUAAAAAAUGAUUUUAAUCUAUUUUAAUUUAUAAUUCGUCAACAUAAUUUUUUUUAAUGUUGUUAAAUUUCUUAUAAAAUUUAUAAUAGAUGAUUUUACUUAUCAAAAUAAAACCUUAAAUACUAGAACUGGCCAUUUCAACCUUUUAAAAACUAGAGUGCCUAGAAUUUGAGGUCCUUUGUUUUUCCAUUAUUUUUUUUUUCGUCGUAUAGUGUAUAACCAUAGACUUUUAUUGCUUAUAAUAUUUUGUUUGCAUCGAAACGGCUAAUUUGGAAUCUGACUUUGGAGAUCUCCUGAAAGCAAGUGGGUUUGGUUUGGUGUAUGGAAGUACUUUUCGUGACUCAGUCAGGUACUAGAGGUAUUUUGUCUGUUGCGAAUUGCUGAAAGGUAAUCCCAUAUAACUAAUUAGUUCAUUAUUCGCGCUCAUAAAUAUUACAAAAAAAAUUAUUUUUUAUAUGUAUACGAUAGAGUUUUAUAAUCUAAAAAUAAAUAAAAUAUAAAAAUCAGAUAAAAAGAUAUAUUACAUACAAUACAAAGAGAUACAUUGCUAUAAAAUGGAGAAUAAAAUUAGAAACUACAACGAUUUAAAACAAAAUGGUAGCUUGGGAGAAAUGAGGAGGAAAGAAAGAGGUGAUUUUAAUUAUUUUUUGGGGGGGCUAACUAAAAUAAUAUUAAGGAUAAAGUAUGCCUAAUUUUAAAAAUUGUUUUGGUCAUUGAAUCCUAACUUAUGUGGAACUCACAUCUUUGAAAAUAAAGGAAGGACAGUUGGGGAAAAAAAAAAAAAAAUUAAUCUCAGGUGAAAUCUUAUCGUUGGAAUACUCAAAUAGAUUUUAAUGUAGAAUAGGAGAGAUAGUUUUCUUUUGAAUUCAAAAUGAAUUAGAUUUAUAAUAUAGAUUUUUCAGUCCAUUAUGACAUGUGGUUUAUUUUUUGUUUAAUUAUUUGUUUUUGUCAAAAUUUGUAUUUCUAAUAUAGUAAUCCAAAAUGAUUGGUAAUUUGAUUUCAUUUUGGAAUAAUUGGUACCUGAUUCUCUGAAGUCCAAGCAUUGGGCUCCGUGUAAGCCAUUCUUUUUCAAACCGCUCAUCGAGAACUAUAAUAAUAUAAAAAUUAUUUUGAUCAGAUAUUAUAUAAAUGAUUCGAUAAUAUCAUUUAUAUCAAAAUCAAAAAAUAAUAUUGGGUGUUAUAUUCAGUUAUAAGUUAUAAAAAAAUACUGAAUAUUAAGUUGUAUUCGAUCAACAUAAUUUUUUAUCGUACUAAUCUUUUACAAAAAAAUGUAUAAUAUGAACAAUUUAAAUUAUCAUAUUAAUCCAAAAAUGAGAUUAAAAUACACAGUAUGCUUAGGCAACUUCAAAAAAGCCAGAUAAGCCUGCUCCAUGUCAAAAAAGCCAGAUAAGUUGUGUGGUUGUUGAGAUUGCGUCAUAACACUAUUUUUUUAUCUAUCAAAUCGAUCAUCAACUAGAUUAAAAUAUAAUUUAAUUAUAAAUUAUUAUAAAAUUAGUUUUUGAUUCAUAACAUCGCCGCAAAAAUUCAUAAAAUAUUUAUAAUUGUAUCUAUAAGAAUUUAUAAACGAACCGUAAAAAUUCAUAAAAUUUAUCAAACAUACCAAUAAAAUUCAAAGAAAAAUAUCUUAUAACAAUGACCACAAAUAUUCAUAAUAAAAAUAAUAUAAUUCAUAACCAAAUUAUUAAAAUUCAUAAACGGAGCUAGAUCUCAAUUUAAUUGGUGGUUUUUAGACAAUUAAUGAUUUAAAGUGAUUAAUUUAUUAGUAAAGUCAUACUAAUUCAUAACAAUAGUUAUAACCAUUCUUCAAUCAAACCAAAACAAUUCUUAACUAAGAUAAUAAAAAAUUCAUUAAAAUUAAAUUUUAAUUAAUGGGUUCAGGAAAUUAAUAUUUAAAGGAUCAAUUUAAUUAAUUAUUGAAAGGUCAUAUUAAUCAUUAACAAUGGUCAUAAUCAUUCAUAUUCAACCAAAAAUAAUCAUAAACUAAGUCAAUAAAAUUCAUUAAAAAGAAAUUUAAUUGGUGGGCCCUCCAUGACAAUUAAUGCUUUUUUGAAAUGAACUAAUUCAUUGUUUUUUAAAGUUCAUAUCAAUUCAUAACGUAGCAGAUCCAUUUACAACUAAACUAAUAAAAAUUCAUAAAAAAAAUUUAUAACACUAAUUCAUUAAUAAUAGACAUAAUAUCAUAAAGGAAUCUAAAAAUAAUUCAUAACUAAAUAACACUAUAUCCAUAUUGUUAUCAUAAGAAUAAAUUAAAAAGAUCAUACAAAAUUCACAAAUAUACCAAUAGAAUUCAUACUAAAUUCAUUCAUAACAAAAUAUCUCAUAACAGUAGUUAUAAAAAUUCAUAACAAA
rnacentral:lncRNA from 1 species